rnacentral:rRNA from 1 species
GGAUUAGAUACCCUGGUAGUCCACGCCGUAAACGAUGUCUACUAGCCGUUGGGAUACUUGAUAUCUUAGUGGCGCAGCUAACGCGAUAAGUAGACCGCCUGGGGAGUACGGCCGCAAGGUUAAAACUCAAAUGAAUUGACGGGGGCCCGCACAAGCGGUGGAGCAUGUGGUUUAAUUCGAUGCAACGCGAAGAACCUUACCAGGACUUGACAUCCUCUGAACUUUCUAGAGAUAGAUUGGUGCCUUCGGGAACAGAGUGACAGGUGCUGCAUGGCUGUCGUCAGCUCGUGUUG